rnacentral:rRNA from 1 species
GGAUAUGACUCUUGAUAAUGGAUAUCUUGGCUCUCGCAUUGAUGAAGAGUGCAGUGAAAUGUGAUACGUGGUGAGAAUUAUAGAAUCCCGUGAACCAUCAUGUCUUUGAACGCAAGAUGCGCCCGAGGCUAGCCGGCCAAGGGCAUGUCCGCCUAGGCAUCAAG